UUUCUUUUUCUCUCUGCCAUUGUCCUGCUUACUGUGUUCUUGCCGCAAAGGCAAAAUUUAUACUUUACCACAUGGAUAAUUGCAAUCAGAUGCAAAAAAGGGCAAAUUGCGCUCAGCUGCAAAACUUUAUGGGCGUGUUUGCGCUGCGAUGUCUUAGUGUGCAAUA